rnacentral:rRNA from 1 species
GACGAACGCUGGCGGCGUGCUUAACACAUGCAAGUCGAACGGAAAGGCCCUGCUUUUGUGGGGUGCUCGAGUGGCGAACGGGUGAGUAACACGUGAGUAACCUGCCCUUGACUUUGGGAUAACUUCAGGAAACUGGGGCUAAUACCGGAUAGGAGCUCCUGCUGCAUGGUGGGGGUUGGAAAGUUUCGGCGGUUGGGGAUGGACUCGCGGCUUAUCAGCUUGUUGGUGGGGUAGUGGCUUACCAAGGCUUUGACGGGUAGCCGGCCUGAGAGGGUGACCGGCCACAUGGGGACUGAGAGACGGACCAGACUCCUACGGGAGGCAGCAGUGGGGAAUAUUGCACAAUGGGCGGAAGCCUGAUGCAGCAACGCCGCGGGCGGGAUGACGGCCUGCGGGUUGUAAACCGCUUUCGCCUGUGACGAAGCGGGAGUGACGGUAAUGGGUAAAGAAGCACCGGCUAACUACGUG